rnacentral:misc_RNA from 1 species
CUCUAAAGAUCAAAACUUCGAUUGAGUAGGGUCUUUUAAUUGUAAUUUCAAUAACAGUAGAAAGCCAAACAAAGAACAAAUCAAAUUCACAAAAGAGGAGAGAGAUUGCAAUUACAGAUUAGCAAACCUCAGGUUCUAUCCCAAUAUCAAACAAAUAAAAAAAAAAAUUAAACUCACAAGCAACGAAGUAAAUGUAGAAAACUCAAAAUCAAUUUCCAGCCACUGAAACCUAAAACAUUGAUUCUUACUCAGUUCAGUACUUGCAGUAGGUCAGCAAAUUAAUUCGAUUGAGUGCGGG